UACUCUCACACUCUCUAAUGUGACUUGCAUUAGGAGUGGUGGACUUGGGUGUUGCUGCUCUGCAGUGGCUCACCUCAAAUGCAUUAGUGCACCUCCUGGUUGGACAUAGUACGGCGUGAUAAGUGUCUUCGCCGGCACCUCCGAAAGAGGGGGUGGCUGAUUAGGAGCUCUGUGCUUCUCUAACUGUCUUAGGACACUCUCUGACA
rnacentral:misc_RNA from 1 species